rnacentral:rRNA from 1 species
AAUCAACGCUGGCGGCGUGCCUCAGACAUGCAAGUCGAACGAUUAAGACUUCCUUCGGGAAGUGUAUAAAGUGGCGCACGGGUGAGUAACACGUAAGUAAUCUACCUUCGAGUGGGGAAUAACAUCGGGAAACCGAUGCUAAUACCGCAUAAUGCAGCGGCAUCGCAAGAUGACAGUUGUUAAAGGAGCAAUUCGCUUGAAGAGGAGCUUGCGGCAGAUUAGCUAGUUGGUAAGGUAAUGGCUUACCAAGGCUACGAUCUGUAUCCGGUCUAAGAGGACGGUCGGACACACUGGCACUGAAUAACGGGUCAGACUCCUACGGGAGGCAGCAGUCGGGAAUUUUGGGCAAUGGGCGAAAGCCUGACCCAGCAACGCCGCGUGAGGGAUGAAGUAUUUCGGUAUGUAAACCUCGAAAGACUGGGAAGAAUAAAUGACGGUACCAUUUAUAAGCUCCGGCUAACUACGUGCCAGCAGCCGCGGUAAAAC